UGCGUGCAGCGGGAGAUGAAGCCGCACAUGCGGAAGACGCGGGCAUACUGGAUGCUGGAGGUGCGUGAGGAGCAGCGCUGUGAGGAGGAAGCCUGGCCAUGAACUGCUCGGAUCGCUACCUGUCCUGCGUCCCCGCCCGAAAGGCACAGUUGCAGCUCUUGGGUGCGGUCUGCAAGCUGCUGCCCUCCAAGCUGCGAGAGGCCACGCCCCUGACCAUGGAAAAACUGUGCAUCUGCAGCGACCAUGCUCUCUCCCCGCCAGUUACGGGACUGGGAGGUGCUGGUUCUUCGGAAGCUCAAGUGGGACAGGCUGCCGUGAUUGCGCGUGAUUUCCUAGCCCUCAUUCUGCACCGACUCCCUCUGCCCCGUGACCGACAGGCCUUGGUCAAAAAGCACGCCCAGACCUGUUUGGCCCUCUGUGCUACAGAUGACACCUUUGCCGUGUGCCCGCCGCCCAUGAUCUCAACAGGCAGCACUGGGGCUGCGAUGCAAGGCCUGGGUGCCUGCUCCGCCUCCGGGGACGAGCUCACGGAGCUGCUGGCAGGGAUCCCAGGCACGGAAGUGGACUGCGGGCGGGCCUGUCAGGAGCAGAUCGAAGCGGCGCUCAGGGAGAGCCUCAGGGGAGCUGCCCAGACCAGCUCCAGCCCAGCGCCUAAAGCCCCCCGGGGCUCCAGCAGCCAGGGGCUCACCCAGACCAGCACUCCCACAGAUGUCACAGCCAUCCACCUGUAGCCCUGGAGAGGCCCCCUCCAGUGGCCACUAAGCAGAGGAG